CCCGCGUGAGGGAUGACGGCCUUCGGGUUGUAAACCUCUUUCAGCAGGGAAGAAGCGCAAGUGACGGUACCUGCAGAAGAAGCACCGGCUAACUACGUGCCAGCAGCCGCGGUAAUACGUAGGGUGCGAGCGUUGUCCGGAAUUAUUGGGCGUAAAGAGCUUGUAGGCGGUUUGUCGCGUCUGCUGUGAAAAUCCGGGGCUCAACCCCGGACUUGCAGUGGGUACGGGCAGACUAGAGUGUGGUAGGGGAGACUGGAAUUCCUGGUGUAGCGGUGAAAUGCGCAGAUAUCAGGAGGAACACCGAUGGCGAAGGCAGGUCUCUGGGCCACUACUGACGCUGAGAAGCGAAAGCAUGGGGAGCGAACAGGAUUA
rnacentral:rRNA from 1 species